AGAGUUUGAUCCUGGCUCAGGAUGAACGCUGGCGGCGUGCUUAACACAUGCAAGUCGAACGAAGCACUUUAUUUGAUUUCCUUCGGGACUGAUUAUUUUGUGACUGAGUGGCGGACGGGUGAGUAACGCGUGGGUAACCUGCCUUGUACAGGGGGAUAACAGUUGGAAACGGCUGCUAAUACCGCAUAAGCGCACGGCAUCGCAUGAUGCAGUGUGAAAAACUCCGGUGGUAUAAGAUGGACCCGCGUUGGAUUAGCUAGUUGGUGAGGUAACGGCCCACCAAGGCAACGAUCCAUAGCCGACCUGAGAGGGUGACCGGCCACAUUGGGACUGAGACACGGCCCAAACUCCUACGGGAGGCAGCAGCGGGGAAUAUUGCACAAUGGGCGAAAGCCUGAUGCAGCGACGCCGCGUGAGCGAAGAAGUAUUUCGGUAUGUAAAGCUCUAUCAGCAGGGAAGAUAAUGACGGUACCUGACUAAGAAGCACCGGCUAAAUACGUGCCAGCAGCCGCGGUAAUACGUAUGGUGCAAGCGUUAUCCGGAUUUACUGGGUGUAAAGGGAGCGCAGGCGGUGCGGCAAGUCUGAUGUGAAAGCCCGGGGCUCAACCCCGGUACUGCAUUGGAAACUGUCGUACUAGAGUGUCGGAGGGGUAAGCGGAAUUCCUAGUGUAGCGGUGAAAUGCGUAGAUAUUAGGAGGAACACCAGUGGCGAAGGCGGCUUACUGGACGAUAACUGACGCUGAGGCUCGAAAGCGUGGGGAGCAAACAGGAUUAGAUACCCUGGUAGUCCACGCCGUAAA
rnacentral:rRNA from 1 species